rnacentral:rRNA from 1 species
AUUGAACGCUGGCGGCAUGCCUUACACAUGCAAGUCGAACGGCGGCACGGGUGCUUGCACCUGGUGGCGAGUGGCGAACGGGUGAGUAAUAUAUCGGAACGUACCUUAUUGUGGGGGAUAACGCAGCGAAAGCUGUGCUAAUACCGCAUAAUCCCUUAGGGGGAAAGCGGGGGACCGUAAGGCCUCGCGCAAUUAGAGCGGCCGAUACCUGAUUAGCUAGUUGGUGAGGUAAAGGCUCACCAAGGCGACGAUCAGUAGCUGGUCUGAGAGGACGAUCAGCCACACUGGGACUGAGACACGGCCCAGACUCCUACGGGAGGCAGCAGUGGGGAAUUUUGGACAAUGGGGGCAACCCUGAUCCAGCAAUGCCGCGUGAGUGAAGAAGGCCUUCGGGUUGUAAAGCUCUUUUGUCAGGGGAGAAACAGCAGCUCUAACACAGUAUGCGAAUGACGGUACCUGAAGAAUAAGCACCGGUUAACUACGUGCCAGCCGCCGCAGUAA